rnacentral:rRNA from 1 species
UACAGAGGUCUCAAGCGUUGUUCGGAUUCAUUGGGCGUAAAGGGUGCGUAGGCGGCGCGGUAAGUCGGGUGUGAAAUCUCGGAGCUUAACUCCGAAACUGCAUUUGAUACUGCCGUGCUUGAGGACUGGAGAGGAGACUGGAAUUCCCGGUGUAGCGGUGAAAUGCGCAGAUAUCGGGAGGAACACCAAUGGCGAAGGCAGCUCGCUGGGACGUUACUGACGCUGAGACGGCGAAAGCGUGGGGAGCAAACAGG